rnacentral:tRNA from 2 species
GUCCAUGGUGCAAUCGGUUAGCGCGUUCGGCUGUUAACUGAAAGGUUGGUGGUUCGAGCCCACCCAGGGAUG